rnacentral:rRNA from 1 species
UACAGAGGGGGCAAGCGUUAUUCGGAAUUAUUGGGCGUAAAGGGCGCGUAGGCGGCUUGGCAAGUGGAUGGUGAAAUCCCUCGGCUUAACCGAGGAACUGCCGUCCAAACUGCUUCGCUUGAGACCGGGAGAGGUGAGUGGAAUUCCCAGUGUAGCGGUGAAAUGCGCAGAUAUCGGGAGGAACACCAAUGGCGAAGGCAGCUCGCUGGGACGUUACUGACGCUGAGACGCGAAAGCGUGGGGAGCAAACAGG